GGAGGAUGGUGGUGAUGAUGAUGAUGAUGACGGUGAUGAUCAUGGCGAUGAUGGUGGUGAUGAUGAUGAUG